rnacentral:rRNA from 1 species
AUUGAACGCUGGCGGCAGGCCUAACACAUGCAAGUCGAGCGGAUGAAGGGAGCUUGCUCCUGGAUUCAGCGGCGGACGGGUGAGUAAUGCCUAGGAAUCUGCCUGGUAGUGGGGGAUAACGUCCGGAAACGGGCGCUAAUACCGCAUACGUCCUGAGGGAGAAAGGGGGGGAUCUUCGGACCUCACGCUAUCAGAUGAGCCUAGGUCGGAUUAGCUAGUUGGUGGGGUAAAGGCCUACCAAGGCGACGAUCCGUAACUGGUCUGAGAGGAUGAUCAGUCACACUGGAACUGAGACACGGUCCAGACUCCUACGGGAGGCAGCAGUGGGGAAUAUUGGACAAUGGGCGAAAGCCUGAUCCAGCCAUGCCGCGUGUGUGAAGAAGGUCUUCGGAUUGUAAAGCACUUUAAGUUGGGAGGAAGGGCAGUAAGUUAAUACCUUGCUGUUUUGACGUUACCAACAGAGUAAGCACCGGCUAACUUCGUG